AUGUUGUAAGAAAGCAGAGGUUAGCACUCCCCUUGAUAAGGAUGGAAGAGGCCCAUGUGGCCUGUACAACACACAUAUGGUUAAGGCACUGCCACCUACUUUGUGGCAUCUAACCAUGAACUCGA
rnacentral:ncRNA from 1 species